AAGGAGUGUGUAACAACUCACCUGCCGAAUGAAUUAGCCCUGAAAAUGGAUGACGCUGAAGCGAGUAGCCGACACCACACCGUCUGACCAAAUUUGGUGUAUCCAGAUGAGUAGGGGGACGUGCCGGUUGUAUCGAAGCGCACGGGCAACUGUGCGUGGAACGGCCGGUAGUGCAGAUCUUGGUAGUAGUAGCAAAUAUUCAAGUUCGAUCCUUGAAGGGCGAAGCGGGGAAGGGUUCCACGCGAACAUUGAUUGAGCGUGGGUGAGUCGUUCCUAAGCCGAGUGGUCAUUGCUAAUUACCGGCGAAAGGGAAGCAGGUUGACAUUCCUGCACACGGAUGUGGAGGCGGUGACGCCCAUCUGGGGAGGUGACGUUGGCGGUGGCUCUGGGCAGAGUGUUCUUUUCUGUUUAACCGUCCAUCGCGCUGUGUGGAAUCCGCUUGUCGGGAGAAACACGCGCGGUCGGGCAAAGCGCCGGGGAUUUUCCGGCGUCCAGAUCGCCACCGACAGCCCUUGAAAAACCUUCUGCUGGGGCGAUGAGUGACUGUUCGUUUACGGGCUUUUACUUGUCGCUUGAAUAAAUCCACGCCGUGACGUACCCAUAACCGCAUCAGGUCCCCAAGGUGAACAGCCUCUGCUCAAUAUGAUCAAUGCAGGUAA
rnacentral:rRNA from 1 species